CCCACCCUUUGUCUACGUGUACCUCUAUAGCUUCCUCGGCGGGCUCGCCCGCCGCCAGGAACCCACGAAACCCCUUGCAUUAUACACGAAAACUUCUGAUAACAAACCUAAAUUAUUACAACUUUCAACAAUGGAUCUCUUGGUUCUGGCAUCGAUGAAGAACGCAGCGAAAUGCGAUAAGUAGUGUGAAUUGCAGAAUUCAGUGAAUCAUCGAAUCUUUGAACGCACAUUGCGGCCAUAGGUAUUCCUUUGGCCAUGCCUGUUCGAGCGUCAUUUACACCCUCAAGCCUAGCUUGGUGUUGGGCGUCUGUCCCGCCGAUUUCGCGCGCGGACUCGCCUCAAAGUCAUUGGCGGCGGUCGUGCCGGCUCCUCGCGCAGCACAUUUGCGCUUCUCGGAGGCCCGGCGGAUCCGCGCUCCAGCAAAGACCUUUCAUGACUUGACCUCGGAUCAGGUAGGGAUACCCGCUGAACUUAAGCAUAUC
rnacentral:rRNA from 1 species